UUGCUAUGAGAAAAUUGUCAAUUUUUAUUAAAUUAAACAGCCAAAGAGCAAUAAGGCUACAAUGAAAGUUUAAAUACUAAAAUCUUGGAAUAAAAUAUGUAGAGUAUUUUUUACCCAAAAUCGAGAACAACACAAGCAACACAAACGCAAGGUGCAAGAAAAUAAAGGAACGCAGAAAAAAUGUUCUCCUAGUUCGGUCCGAAUGGCUUAAUCUGGGUGGCCCAGAGUCAACCCAAUCCAUUAGUGCAAUUCUACCUCCCAGAGAGAGUACAGAACAUAGAACCAAAGAGAACAACUAGAUCAAUCAUCGAUCCAAAUGGAUCUCAAAUCUGGACACAAUAAUCUGCUUCCUCACAAACCAGCCACAAAUACAGAAUACAACAGAUCGACUACACAACCUGCCCACUAGUUACUGUAGCACACCAGAUUUAAAAGAAUCAUACACGGAGUAAUAGGCUCCAGAUUCGAAAAAACAAGAAGAAGGAAGAAGAAAAAUCUCCUAGUAGAGAGAGAAAAAUGAGAGUGCAAAAGGCAGUAACCGAGG
rnacentral:lncRNA from 1 species